AACCUUUAGCCAAACAAGUAUUAAAGGCAACGCCUGCCCAGUGAACAAUUAAACGGCCGCGGUACCCUAACCGUGCAAAGGUAGCAUAAUCAUUUGUCUACUAAUUAUAGACCUGCAUGAAAGGCAAAAUGAGGGUUUAACUGUCUCUUAUAAUCAAUCAAUUAAACUGAUCUCCUAGUAAAAAAGCUAGAAUACUACUAUAAGACCAGAAGACCCUGUGAAGCUUCAAUUAAACUAUUAAACCUAAUAAUAGCUAAUUUAGGUUGGGGCGACCGUGGAAACAAAAAGAACUUCCAAAAUAUGACUACCUCAUACAAACCAGGCCUACAAGCCACAAACCGACCCAGCAUGGCUGACAAAUGGACCAAGUUACUCCAGGGAUAACAGCGCAAUCUUCUUCAAGAGCCCAUAUCAAAAAGAAGGUUUACGACCUCGAUGUUGGAUCAGGACAUCCUAAUGGUGCAGCCGCUAUUAAGGGUUCGUUUGUUCAACGAUUAACAGUCCU
rnacentral:rRNA from 1 species